rnacentral:lncRNA from 1 species
AAGUGGGCAAAUCCAAAUUAACAUGGCCUGUAAUUGUUAAAGAUUUAGUUGCAUUAGAUCUCUCAAAACUAUUAACAUGAAGCAUAAUGACACAGAAAGAUUCAUUUAGACCUUAAAUUUGGCAAUAAUUUUUGUAGUUAUGUUAAGAUCUAUAUGGCAUGAUUAGUAUUUCUGCAGCGAGAAUUCGAAGGGGUUGGUUUUGGUAUGUGUAGACCGAAACUAUUAUGAUGUUUGUAGUUGCUUUGGAUGAACGGAAUGGAAUGGUGGAAGAGGAUUUAUGUAGUUGACUCUACGCUUAGUUUCUUGUGGUUUGAGGUCCUUGCUGAUAGAGGAAUUUAUUUUUUUGAUCGAUACUACUUUGGAUGAACGGAAUGGAAUGGUAGAAAUUGAGCUUGUUGUAAAGGAAAUAAAGUAAUGUGAUACUGAAGUGGGCGUCUGUUUGUUUAUUGUGUGUACUUCGGUAUUUUUUGAUUAUGUUAUAUAUAUAUAUAUCACAAUUUAUAGAUUUGAUUAUUAACGGUUGAUAUGGCGAGAUUUGACCUAGUCAAAAUCUCAUUAGCCAAAAAAAAAAAAUAAAUAAAAAAAAUCUCCCAAUUUCUUUUGUCAAUAACCUAUAUUACAAAAGCACAGCCGUUUAAGUGGUGAAAAGAUUUUGACAGUUUUAAUUCAAUUUAUCAUAAUUUCAUCGAUCUGUAAAAAAAACUUGUAAAUGGUGAUAUACAAGCAUUUUUAUGUGGGUCGAGAAAUGAAUUUUGGAUGUUGAAGGUUAGUUUUAAAGAUUGCAUGAUCUUAUUGCUUAAAGAAAGGCUCGAGGGGGGGAGAGUGCUGUGGCCGACUGAACUCUCUUCCUUGUUUUACUCCGACUUAUCGAAGAAGCACAAGAAGACCGAUUUUUGUUUGUGGGUAGCAUUUGAUAUGCUGCUUGGCUAGUUAUUUAUCAAAUGACACAGAAAGAUUCAUUUAGACCUUAAAUUUGGCAAUAAUUUUUGUAGUUAUGUUAAGAUCUAUAUGGCAUGAUUAGUAUUUCUGCAGCGAGAAUUCGAAGGGGUUGGUUUUGGUAUGUGUAGACCGAAACUAUUAUGAUGUUUGUAGUUGCUUUGGAUGAACGGAAUGGAAUGGUGGAAGAGGAUUUAUGUAGUUGACUCUACGCUUAGUUUCUUGUGGUUUGAGGUCCUUGCUGAUAGAGGAAUUUAUUUUUUUGAUCGAUACUAGAAGUUGAGCUUGUUGUAAAGGAAAUAAAGUAAUGUGAUACUGAAGUGGGCGUCUGUUUGUUUAUUGUGUG